ensembl:snRNA U2 U2 spliceosomal RNA
AUCGCUUCUCGGCCUUUUGGCUAAGAUCAAGUGUAGUAUCUGUUCUUAUCAGUUUAAUAUCAGAGGCUAAAAGAAACCAUUAGGCAAUUAGCAUGUCCUCUUGGUGGAGAGGAGGGUGUGAAGAUUUCACCAGGAUCUCUCAUAAAACUUAAGUUCCUUCUUGGUGCUAAGCUUUAUCUCUU